UCAGGCCUAACACAUGCAAGUCGAGCGGUAGCGGGAAGAGCUUGCCCUUUGCCGACGAGCGGCGGACGGGUGCGUAACACGUAGGAAUCUGCCUGGUAGUGGGGGAUAGCCCGGAGAAAUCCGGAUUAAUACCGCAUACGCCCUACGGGGGAAAGGAGGGGACUCUUCGGAGCCUUUCGCUAUCAGAUGAGCCUGCGUCGGAUUAGCUUGUUGGUGGGGUAAAGGCCUACCAAGGCGACGAUCCGUAGCUGGUCUGAGAGGAUGAUCAGCCACACUGGGACUGAGACACGGCCCAGACUCCUACGGGAGGCAGCAGUGGGGAAUAUUGCACAAUGGGCGAAAGCCUGAUGCAGCCAUGCCGCGUGUGUGAAGAAGGCCCUAGGGUUGUAAAGCACUUUCAGUGGGGAGGAAAGGUUGAAGGUUAAUACCCUUCAGCUGUGACGUUACCCACAGAAGAAGCACCGGCUAACUCCGUGCCAGCAGCCGCGGUAAUACGGAGGGUGCGAGCGUUAAUCGGAAUUACUGGGCGUAAAGCGUGCGUAGGCGGCCACCUAAGUUGGAUGUGAAAGCCCCGGGCUCAACCUGGGAACUGCAUCCAAAACUGGGUGGCUAGAGUACGGGAGAGGAGUGUGGAAUUUCCUGUGUAGCGGUGAAAUGCGUAGAUAUAGGAAGGAACACCAGUGGCGAAGGCGACACUCUG
rnacentral:rRNA from 1 species